rnacentral:rRNA from 1 species
AUUGAACGCUGGCGGCAUGCCUUACACAUGCAAGUCGAACGGCAGCACGGGAGCAAUCCUGGUGGCGAGUGGCGAACGGGUGAAUAAAGUAUCGGAACGUGCCCUGUAGUGGGGGAUAACUAGUCGAAAGAUUAGCUAAUACCGCAUACGACCUGAGAGUGAAAGUGGGGGACCGCAAGGCCUCAUGCUAUAGGAGCGGCCGAUGCCUGAUUAGCUAGUUGGUGGGGUAAAGGCCUACCAAGGCGACGAUCAGUAGCUGGUCUGAGAGGACGAUCAGCCACACUGGGACUGAGACACGGCCCAGACUCCUACGGGAGGCAGCAGUGGGGAAUUUUGGACAAUGGGCGAAAGCCUGAUCCAGCAAUGCCGCGUGUGUGAAGAAGGCCUUCGGGUUGUAAAGCACUUUUGUCCGGAAAGAAAUGGCUCUGGUUAAUACCUGGGGUCGAUGACGGUACCGGAAGAAUAAGGACCGGCUAACUACGUGCCAGCCGCCGCCGUAA